rnacentral:rRNA from 1 species
GCCAGCCGCCGCGGUAAUACGUAGGUGGCAAGCGUUAUCCGGAAUUAUUGGGCGUAAAGCGCGCGCAGGCGGUCUCUUAAGUCUGAUGUGAAAGCCCACGGCUCAACCGUGGAGGGUCAUUGGAAACUGGGAGACUUGAGUGCAGGAGAGAAAAGUGGAAUUCCACGUGUAGCGGUGAAAUGCGUAGAGAUGUGGAGGAACACCAGUGGCGAAGGCGGCUUUUUGGCCUGUAACUGACGCUGAGGCGCGAAAGCGUGGGGAGCAAACAGGAUUAGAUACCCUGGUAGUCCACGCCGUAAACGAUGAGUGCUAGGUGUUGGGGGGUUCCACCCUCAGUGCUGAAGUUAACACAUUAAGCACUCCGCCUGGGGAGUACGACCGCAAGGUUGAAACUCAAAGGAAUUGACGGGGGCCCGCACAAGCAGUGGAGCAUGUGGUUUAAUUCGAAGCAACGCGAAGAACCUUACCAGGUCUUGACAUCCUCUGACCACUCUAGAGAUAGAGCUUUCCCCUUCGGGGGACAGAGUGACAGGUGGUGCAUGGUUGUCGUCAGCUCGUGUCGUGAGAUGUUGGGUUAAGUCCCGCAACGAGCGCAACCCU